GGGUGUGGGACGCUUGGCAGGACCCCGGCGGGGCGGUGUGGAGAGAUGGAAGGCCCUGGUGGUAGUGAAGGGUCUCAGGGAGUUAGACGUCCCCGUAAAACUCCCGUUGGCAUUGGUUCCUGAGUGACAGACAAUGCAGCCUCCGAGCCCGCGCGGCCUUAGGAGCGGCUGGGGGGAUCACAGUGCAGUAAGCGCUGCCCUGUCUUGAAUAUAGUUUCGUACGGUAGUUUUUACUUAAGAAUAAAAGCAAAAGUCUGAUGUUAGCAAGCUUCCAGGAGCUGACAUGAAACUUGUGUCGUCCCCGAGACAGUGGAGGCGCAGACGCCACGGUGAGCAGGGCUUUUUGGAGCCCCAUCCGGGCCCAAAUUCAUGGUGUGGAUCAAGGGUGCCCUGGAACUGAAUGUCCUGCCUCCAUCUCCCAAGUGCUAGAACUGCAGGUGUUUGCCAAGACACUCAGGUGCUUUUCUGAGUCAAGCUUGGGUACUCGCCUCGCCUGCAUGAAUCCCCAGGACUCAACUAGCCUGCAUGCCCAGCAAGCCCCAGGAUCCUCCUAGCUCUGUCUCUCAGCACCAAGAUUACAGACACACACAAUGCUCCUGGCUUUUGAGUGUGGAUGCUUUAAACCCAGAGUCAGGUCCAUGGCAUGCAUGGCAACACUUACCAACUGAGUUUCCUCCCAGCUCCCUCAGCCCUUGACUUUUAGUGAGAGUCCUCUCCUGUGUCAGUUGUGGGUGGGGCUUUCUAGAGAAAGCGCUGCAGUCAUGUGGUUAAGAUAACAACAAAAGAUUUACUAUGAAAUUCAUCAUUUAGAAAUAUAUCAGCCAUAAUAUUUUAUGUUCUGUACUUCCUGGAAUUUUUAUUUCCUAGGAAUCCUGGCAACAGUAACGACAGAUGGUGUUCCCUCAUCUCUUGGAGAUAAACAUAAACUUUUUACCAUCUUUUUCAU